AGUGAACGCUGGCGGUAGGCCUAACACAUGCAAGUCGAACGGCAGCACAGUAAGAGCUUGCUCUUACGGGUGGCGAGUGGCGGACGGGUGAGGAAUACAUCGGAAUCUACUUUUUCGUGGGGGAUAACGUAGGGAAACUUACGCUAAUACCGCAUACGACCUACGGGUGAAAGCAGGGGAUCUUCGGACCUUGCGCGAUUGAAUGAGCCGAUGUCGGAUUAGCUAGUUGGCGGGGUAAAGGCCCACCAAGGAGACGAUCCGUAGCUGGUCUGAGAGGAUGAUCAGCCACACUGGAACUGAGACACGGUCCAGACUCCUACGGGAGGCAGCAGUGGGGAAUAUUGGACAAAGGGCGCAAGCCUGAUCCAGCCAUACCGCGUGGGUGAAGAAGGCCUUCGGGUUGUAAAGCCCUUUUGUUGGGAAAGAAAAGCAGCAGGUUAAUACCCCGCUGUUCUGACGGUACCCAAAGAAUAAGCACCGGCUAACUUCGUG
rnacentral:rRNA from 1 species